rnacentral:tRNA from 1 species
ACUCCAUUCGUCUAAUGGUUUAGGACGGCUGCCUUUUGAGUAGUAAGUAAGAGUUUGACUCUCUUAUGGAGUG